UGAGGCACCAGAUAAAUCUGCAGAAGAAGACCGGGAAAUAUAAGUAGAAUUAAAUAUGUAGGAAAAACCCCAAAACAACAACAAAAAAACGGGGGACCAAAGCGGAGCUUCAAGGCUGCACCGUCCUCUCACAUUCCAGCACGUCGUAAAAAAGGGGGAUUUAGAGCGACUUAUUUCCUUAAAACUGUCCUCCCAUCCACUGAGCCAGCCAGUCUGCUACCGUCAGCCCGCUGCAGGCCCUGCACCAAAAUGUACAAACAAUAUUUCCAGGUGGGUUCCCACCGGGGAGACACCUGAGCACUUGGGGACUCGCAGCCACCGCACCUGCGGGGUACAGCCAGCCAUGCAAUUACACACAUUAAAAAAAAAAAAGCUUCUCCGUUUGGCGACGUGCGGAAUGACUUUUCACUGACUGCACUUGAAACGGUUCCUGCAGGAGGAAGAUGUGCUCGAAGAGAAACAGACUUCUUUAUAUGAAGAUUUCGAUCGUGGGGAAGCGGCGGUGUGGAUCACGAAGCUGGAUUUCUUUUAACAGCACAGCCGAGGGGAGAAAAGUUUGAGGAAGAGGAGCUGCGACACAUUCAGGAGUUUGCCAACAAACAAAACAGAUGCAAUUAAACACACACUCGCCUUCAGAUCAUCUCUGAGGAGACAAAGUCGAGUCUGGUGGAAAGCCGACAAGGACAAACAAGGAGGGAGAGGACUCUGCUGCCUCAAGGUUAACGCCGACUGAAUGAACUCUCGUCUUCACACUAUCAGUCUCGCCACAAAGACACAUCACUCAUUGCUUUUUAUAGCAUCUGUGCUCUUUUUAGAAGUUGACACGAUGCUCAGUUGAUGUUUUAUUUUUGUAUCAUUGCAGAAAAA